AUUUAUGAUGCUCGAUGAAACAAGUUGUUUUACCAUAAAGAACUAAAAAAUUUCAUGUAUUACACAGAAAUUUUGUGUGUAAGAAUCAACUUCAGGUAAAAGAAUUCUUAGUUCUUGUGAAGAACAGAAAGAAAAUUUAAGACAGAAUAUAUGGACUCAAGGGUGAGUUCUUAACAAAGGAGAGUCUGAUCUGUCACACAUCCAGAGA
rnacentral:lncRNA from 1 species